CGCAACCCUCGCCCUUACGUUGCCAGCAUUUAGUUGGGCGACUCUAAGGGGACGUGCCGGUGAUAAGCCGAGAGGAAGGUGGGGAUGACGUCAAGCCCUCAUGGCCCUUACGGGCUGGGCUACACACGUGCUACAAUGGUGGUGACAGUGGGCAGCGAGCACGCGAGUGUGAGCUAAUCUCCAAAAGCCAUCUCAGUUCGGAUUGCACUCUGCAACUCGAGUGCAUGAAGUUGGAAUCGCUAGUAAUCGCGGAUCAGCAUGCCGCGGUGAAUACGUUCCCGGGCCUU
rnacentral:rRNA from 1 species